CGACUCGUGACGUGACCAACAACAAACAAGAUGGCUCUGUGCUUUUCUUAAAGCUUUUCUCUUCUUACAUGAGGACUACCUCCAAGUUCCGUACAAAAAUAAAGAUAAAUAUUACUAUCGACUAUGUCUCAUUUUCUCAUUGGACUCUGAAGAUGACUUACACUCAGGUUGUGGAAUCGUCAGUCGCCACCUACUAUAGUCUUUUUCAAGACUACACUCACCCGGACAAUCACAUUUCACACCAAAUUCAACUCAUUUCUUUCAUUUUUCUCUUUCUGUUCUUUCACUUUUGGUGUAAUGCAAAUUCUUUUAGAAUUUUUNAUUUCAUUUUCCAGGUUAAGCAACAUGCUAUUAACAAAUACUACAGAAUGUCUCUGUGAUCCAUGCCAUUUGUAUAUGAUGACAUAACAUCUUAUAAAGAAAAAAAGUUAAUACAUAUAUACUAUAAAAAUCAUUUAUUACUACAGUA
rnacentral:lncRNA from 1 species